UACGUAGGCACCAAGCGUUGUCCGGAUUUAUUGGGCGUAAAGAGCUCGUAGGUGGUUUGUCGCGUUGUUCGUGAAAACUCACAGCUCAACUGUGGGCGUGCGGGCGAUACGGGCAGACUGGAGUACUGCAGGGGAGACUGGAAUUCCUGGUGUAGCGGUGGAAUGCGCAGAUAUCAGGAGGAACACCGAUGGCGAAGGCAGCUCGCUGGAACGGUACUGACGCUGAGGCGCGAAAGCGUGGGGAGCGAACAGG
rnacentral:rRNA from 1 species